CACGAAUUCGUGUGAGCUAACUCAUUUAAACACUUAUGUAACAUAAUAUCUAUUUAGUUUGAGUUAGGGGUGAAAGGCCUAUCAAAAACGACGAUAUCUUGAAGUAAAUGAAAUUAAUUGAGUGUUAAGCUAGUUACAAAGUUAUAAGAUUUUGUAAGAGAUUCAAUAUUUAUUCUCUUGAGAUGUAGGCGUAAAAACCCGCAUGAUUUGAUACUAACAUUAAAAUAAAGAGAAUUUAUUAAAGUAGUUUACGGUAACAUAACUUUAGGACAAUCAUUAUGUUAAUAUAAGUACUUAAAAGGUAUUAAUAGUGAACUCGGCAAUAAAGCUUUCAACUGUUUAUCAAAAACAUAGCCAUAUGUUUCACUUAUGGUGUGUUCUGCUCAAUGAUGUUUAAAUAGCCGCAGUACCCUGACUGUGCAAAGGUAGCAAAAUCAUUUGUCUUUUAAUUGGAGUCGUGUAUGAAUGAAUGCAUGGGGGCUUACUUUACCAUUAAUACCACUCGAAAUUACUUAAGAGGUGAAAAAACCUUUAACUAUAUAAUAGACGAGAAGACCCUUGAAAUUUGUAAAAUAGUUUUGUUGGGGCAACAUUGUAGAUAAACCUAUAAAAUGUACAGGAAAUUUUUUUUGUUUGACUAAAUUACUCUAGGGAUAACAGCAUAAUUUUAAAAAGUUUGUGACCUCGAUGUUGGAUUAGGGAACUAUAACUUAAAA
rnacentral:rRNA from 1 species